GGGGAUGACGGGAUUCGACCGGGGGACUGAUUUUAAGCUGCAAGCCGCGGAUGGUAAGUCACCGCGUUACAAAAACUUGCCGGCAAGAUAAAUGCCGAAGAUGCUUCUGUUCCCGCUUACGCCUACGCUGAGGCCUACGCCUAAACGUUAAGUGGGGAUCCCUGAGCUCGACUCGGGGCGUUUUGGUGGCUUUCUCUCGAUGAGGUCAUCAAGGCGUAAUGCAAUCGAGAACGCGAAUCAUUAAGGCUUAGGUGAUUACGUUGUUAUCUUUCAUUAUUCAGCCAAAGCUUAGGUUUUAUCGCUUUUCCGGCUAGGCCAAAAACUUAAGCUUCCGUAAAGGAAUAUAACCGGACAUGCUUGUAGAUUGCUUAGAUGAUGCCUUCGAGACGGGGGUUCAACUCCCCCCAUCUCCACCA
rnacentral:tmRNA from 1 species